UUGUGGGUAGCGGCUGCGCGCGGCCGGAGACGGGCGCCGCGCGGGAGUGUGUGAGGGGCGCGGGCGGCCGCCAGCGGUCAUGGGAGCCAGCUGGCCGCGGCCGUAGUUGUCUGGAACCCGGGCUUCAGCUUCCCGGAGCCCCCAGAGGGCGGGACAGCCGCCGGGGGGCUCGGCGGUGGCGGCGCCACUUCCCCGCUCCCGCCCUCGGAGUCCUGAGGGAGCUCGCGGCGGAGGAGUGGACCGGGCGGCGCGAAUCUGACUGAGGGGCGGGGACGCCGUCUGCUCCGCGCUGCUCCCGGGGCCGGGCGGGCCUCCAACAGCCCCAAGGCCCCGGGGCGCUGAGCUCGAGGCGCGCGGUGGGCCCGGGCGGAGCCCCGGCCGGAGCCGGUGGUUCGAGGGCGGCGGUAGGCCCCGAGGCCGGCAGGGCCGGAGCGCGGGGAGCCGAGUGCGGGCCUGGCGGCGGCAUGAGCCGGCCCCCGCCGACGGGGAAGAUGCCCGGCGCCCCCGAGGCCGUGUCGGGGGAUGGCGCGGGCGCGAGCCGCCAGAGGAAGCUGGAAGCGCUGAUCCGAGACCCGCGUUCGCCCAUCAACGUGGAGAGCUUGCUGGAUGGCUUAAAUUCUUUGGUCCUUGAUUUGGAUUUUCCUGCUUUGAGGAAAAACAAAAAUAUAGAUAAUUUCUUAAAUAGAUAUGAGAAAAUUGUGAAAAAGAUUAGAGGUUUGCAGAUGAAGGCAGAAGACUACGAUGUUGUAAAAGUUAUCGGAAGAGGUGCUUUUGGUGAAGUCCAGUUGGUUCGUCAUAAGGCAUCACAGAAAGUUUAUGCUAUGAAGCUUCUUAGUAAGUUUGAAAUGAUAAAAAGAUCAGAUUCUGCUUUUUUCUGGGAGGAAAGAGAUAUUAUGGCCUUUGCCAACAGUCCCUGGGUGGUUCAGCUCUUUUGUGCCUUUCAAGAUGAUAAGUAUCUGUACAUGGUAAUGGAGUACAUGCCUGGUGGAGACCUUGUAAACCUUAUGAGUAACUAUGAUGUACCUGAAAAAUGGGCCAAAUUUUAUACUGCUGAGGUUGUUCUUGCUUUGGAUGCCAUACACUCCAUGGGUUUAAUUCACAGAGAUGUGAAGCCUGACAACAUGCUCUUGGAUAAACAUGGGCAUCUGAAAUUAGCAGAUUUUGGCACAUGUAUGAAGAUGGAUGAAACAGGCAUGGUGCAUUGUGAUACAGCAGUUGGAACACCCGAUUAUAUAUCACCUGAGGUCCUGAAAUCACAAGGGGGUGAUGGUUACUAUGGGCGAGAAUGUGAUUGGUGGUCCGUGGGUGUUUUCCUUUUUGAAAUGCUGGUGGGGGAUACUCCAUUUUAUGCAGAUUCACUUGUAGGGACAUACAGCAAAAUUAUGGAUCAUAAAAACUCACUAUGUUUCCCUGAAGAUGCAGAAAUUUCUAAACAUGCGAAGAAUCUCAUCUGUGCCUUCUUAACAGAUAGGGAGGUACGCCUUGGAAGAAAUGGGGUAGAAGAAAUCAAACAACAUCCUUUCUUUAAGAAUGAUCAGUGGAAUUGGGAUAACAUAAGAGAGACUGCAGCUCCUGUGGUACCUGAACUCAGCAGUGACAUAGACAGCAGCAAUUUUGAUGACAUUGAAGAUGAUAAAGGAGAUGUAGAAACCUUCCCAAUUCCUAAGGCUUUUGUGGGAAAUCAGCUACCUUUUAUAGGAUUUACCUACUACAGAGAAAAUUUGCUACUAAGUGACUCUCCAUCUUGUAAAGAAAAUGACUCAAUUCAAUUAAGGAAGAAUGAAGAGAGUCAAGAGAUUCAGAAAAAACUGUACACAUUAGAAGAACACCUUAGCACUGAGAUUCAAGCCAAAGAGGAACUAGAACAGAAGUGCAAGUCUGUUAACACUCGCUUAGAGAAAGUGGCAAAGGAGUUAGAAGAAGAGAUUACCUUAAGGAAAAAUGUGGAGUCAACAUUAAGACAAUUAGAAAGAGAAAAAGCACUUCUUCAGCACAAAAAUGCAGAAUAUCAGCGGAAAGCUGAUCAUGAAGCAGACAAGAAGCGAAAUUUGGAGAAUGAUGUUAACAGUUUAAAAGAUCAGCUUGAAGAUUUGAAAAAAAGAAAUCAGAACUCUCAGAUAUCCACUGAGAAAGUGAAUCAACUCCAGAGACAACUGGAUGAAACCAAUGCUUUGCUGCGAACAGAAUCGGAUACUGCAGCCCGGUUAAGGAAAACACAGGCAGAAAGUUCAAAACAGAUUCAGCAGCUGGAAUCUAACAAUAGAGAUCUACAAGACAAAAAUUGCCUGCUGGAGACUGCCAAGUUAAAACUUGAAAAGGAAUUUAUCAAUCUUCAGUCAGUUCUAGAAUCUGAAAGGAGGGACCGAACCCAUGGAUCAGAGAUUAUUAAUGAUUUACAAGGUAGAAUAUCUGGCCUAGAAGAAGAUGUAAAGAAUGGUAAAAUCUUAUUAGCAAAAGUAGAGCUGGAGAAGAGACAACUACAGGAGAGAUUUACUGAUUUGGAAAAGGAAAAGAACAACAUGGAAAUAGAUAUGACAUACCAACUAAAAGUUAUACAGCAAAGUUUAGAACAAGAAGAAACUGAACAUAAGGCUACAAAAGCACGGCUUGCAGAUAAAAACAAGAUUUAUGAAUCCAUUGAAGAAGCUAAAUCAGAAGCCAUGAAAGAAAUGGAGAAAAAGCUCUCGGAGGAAAGAACUUUAAAACAGAAAGUAGAGAACUUGUUGCUGGAGGCUGAGAAAAGAUGCUCCAUACUAGACUGUGACCUCAAACAGUCACAGCAGAAAAUAAAUGAACUCCUCAAACAGAAAGAUGUGCUAAAUGAGGAUGUUAGAAACUUGACAUUAAAAAUAGAACAGGAAACUCAGAAGCGCUGCCUUACACAAAAUGACUUGAAGAUGCAAACACAGCAAGUUAACACACUAAAAAUGUCAGAAAAGCAGUUAAAGCAAGAGAAUAAUCAUCUCCUAGAAAUGAAAAUGAGCUUGGAAAAACAGAAUGCUGAACUUCGAAAAGAACGUCAAGAUGCAGAUGGACAGAUGAAAGAGCUCCAGGAUCAGCUUGAAGCAGAGCAGUAUUUCUCAACCCUCUAUAAAACACAGGUUAGGGAACUUAAGGAAGAAUGUGAAGAAAAGACCAAACUUUGUAAAGAAUUACAGCAGAAGAAGCAGGAAUUACAGGAUGAAAGGGACUCCUUGGCUGCUCAACUGGAGAUUACCUUAACCAAAGCAGAUUCUGAGCAACUGGCUCGUUCAAUUGCUGAGGAACAGUAUUCUGAUUUGGAAAAAGAGAAGAUCAUGAAAGAGCUGGAGAUCAAAGAGAUGAUGGCUCGACACAAACAGGAACUCACCGAAAAAGAUGCUACUAUUGCGUCUCUUGAAGAAACUAAUAGGACACUAACUAGCGAUGUUGCCAAUCUUGCCAAUGAGAAAGAAGAAUUAAAUAACAAACUGAAAGAAGCCCAAGAGCAACUAUCAAGGUUGAAAGAUGAAGAAAUAAGUGCAGCAGCUAUUAAAGCACAAUUUGAGAAGCAGCUAUUAACAGAGAGGACACUCAAAACUCAAGCCGUGAAUAAGUUGGCUGAGAUCAUGAAUCGAAAGGAACCUGUUAAGCGUGGUAAUGACACAGAUGUGCGGAGAAAAGAAAAGGAGAAUAGAAAGCUACAUAUGGAACUUAAAUCUGAGCGCGAAAAACUGACCCAGCAGAUGAUCAAGUAUCAGAAAGAACUGAAUGAAAUGCAGGCUCAAAUAGCUGAAGAGAGUCAGAUUCGAAUUGAACUACAGAUGACACUGGACAGUAAGGACAGUGACAUUGAGCAGCUGCGCUCCCAGCUCCAGGCCUUGCACAUUGGUUUGGAUAGUUCCAGUAUAGGCAGUGGACCAGGGGAUACUGAAGCUGAUGAUGGGUUUCCAGUUCAUAUCACUCAGUCACACACUAUGGAAUCCAUGUCAUUCACCUACCAACGUUCCUCCACUUCUCUCAAUAUUGCCACUAAGCCUUCCAGUUCUCAUAUGCUUCUUGACUCUGAUUCUGACUCAGAAGAAGAAUCUGUUCCUUACUUACCUAUUUCAUCGGAACCUAAUGGUACAGAAUCAAGACUAGAAGGAUGGCUUUCAUUGCCUGUGCGAAACAACACUAAGAAAUUUGGAUGGGUUAAAAAGUAUGUGAUUGUAAGCAGUAAGAAGAUCCUUUUCUAUGACAGUGAACAAGAUAAAGAACAAUCUAAUCCUUACAUGGUUUUAGAUAUAGACAAGUUAUUUCAUGUCCGACCAGUUACACAGACAGAUGUAUAUAGAGCAGAUGCUAAAGAAAUUCCAAGGAUAUUCCAGAUUCUGUAUGCCAACGAAGGAGAAAGUAAGAAGGAACAAGAAUUUCCAGUGGAGCCAGUGGGAGAAAAAUCAAAUUAUAUUUGCCACAAGGGACAUGAAUUUAUUCCUACUCUGUAUCAUUUCCCAACCAACUGUGAGGCGUGUAUGAAGCCAUUGUGGCACAUGUUUAAACCCCCUCCUGCUUUAGAGUGCCGUCGCUGUCAUAUUAAAUGUCAUAAAGAUCACAUGGACAAAAAGGAGGAAAUUAUAGCACCUUGCAAAGUGUAUUAUGAUAUUUCAUCGGCAAAGAAUCUAUUGUUAUUAGCAAAUUCUACAGAAGAGCAGCAAAAGUGGGUUAGCCGGUUAGUGAAAAAAAUACCUAAAAAGCCUCCAGCUCCAGACCCUUUUGCACGGUCGUCUCCUAGAACGUCAAUGAAAAUACAACAAAACCAGUCUAUUCGACGGCCAAGUCGACAACUUGCUCCAAACAAACCAAGUUCUGGCCCUGCCCUUCGAAUCAUUCUUCAUUGAUUUUUUUAAAAUACAUUUUGCAUAGCAACAAUUGCUUGAUUUGGCAUUUAAAGACUGGGAUUGGUCAUUUGAUGAUGUUGAUGGUGGUGAUGAGGAUGACGAUGUUUUUGAUUUCUGAAGAAGUUAAAUGGGCUAACUGCCUUCUAUGAAUGCAGUCAUUAUUCAAGGUGAUCAUAUUCUUCCAGUUGAAACAAGACUGAAAUAUGAUGGCCCAAAAUUUAUUAAAAAGUUAUAUUUUCCUGAGAGACUAAUACACAUAUAUAUUCCCUCUAUUCCUGCAAUAUAAAUUCUAAAUCUUGAAUAGGUUUUCUGGGCUCCUUUGGAGCAACAAGUUGAACCAACAGUGAUUGGUUAAUAGAAUAAGAAUAUCAUGUGCAACUCUUCUAGACUUGUUCCAUAAAGCUCUCCUAGCAUCACUCACACUACAUUGCAUAAAGGAUUUAGAAGAGUUACAGAAAUCAUCUUUUCAGCUUCAACAGAGAGAUUUCACCAGCACAUUUGCCAGAAGAAUCUGGGAAUGGAUUCCACUACAGUGAUAGAGACUGCGUCUUUAAGAAGUGACCAUUGUAGUGUGUGUGUGAACACACACACACACACACACACACACACACACAGUACUGUAAUACUGCAAGAGGGUUUUUUAACUUCCCACUUUAUUUUUUUAUAAACAUUAAUCAGAUAUCAUUACUUACUGCAGUUGUAACUAUGCACUUGUAUAAAGCCAUAAUGUUGGAGUUUAUAUCACUCAUUGUGUGUACCUGCUGGAAGCUGCAUGUUCAUGUUUAAGCAGUUAUUGUAACAAGAAGUUUGAAGUUAAUUAUAUCAGUUUCUUAAUGCUUCGUAAUAGGCAAUUUUACCCAUUUUGAAUGCCUUAAUUUAAUUUUUUUCAAGAUAUCCACCCUUUCCUGUAUUUAAAACAAAAAAAAAGUAUUUGCCAGCUCUUAGGAUGCAAAUUUGCUUUGCAGAAGAAAAUUAGUGCACUAUUUUUACACAUAGUAGUUAUCAUUGUCGGCCUAUUUUGAUUGUAUAACAGAAUUUUGUUUAAGUAUUGGUGAUAGAAACAGUAAUGGGUAGUAUUGGAACUAAUAUAUCUUUUAUGUAUAUCUAUUUCUCAUCCGACCCCUUUUACAGACCUCAGUAUUAGUGUGUGACUAUGAAACAUUUUCUUUGCUUUAAUUUGCUGGCUACCCUAGGUGUGUUUUUAUUUCUGAUAAAGCAUUUGUGACUUUUUAUAUUUUCACAUUCAAGAUUCAAAAAAUUGUCUCAAAUACAAAGAAAACUAAGACAUACUGUAGAUAUAUUUUAAGUAUUUAAGUGUGAUCCCGUAAACACAUGACUGUGUAUGGCAGCAUUUCAUUAUUGUGGCUGGGAAGCAGUGGCCUCAGAGGCACUUAAUUUUUAUUUUUUUAAAUGCUAUUCAAGUUACAUACAGUUUAUGCAGGACUAUUCCUGCUUUAUUUCUCAUUAUCCCAGAAAAGUAUAUGUUUUAUACUGCUACAGUGUACAUCAGUGGUGAGAAUCAAGUAAAGAAAAAUUCUGUGGUCUUCUGUCAUCCUCUCUGUGUAUAUUCAUGUGCACAGAGUUUGGCAUGAUACUGACAUACAUCAUCCAAUAUUUCUAUGAAGGAAGUAGACAUUUUUCAUUGAUUCCUUCUGGGGUCAGUGUUAAAGUGUUUAAAGAGUUAGAUCCCCAAUUAUAGAUACUGUUGUGGAAAUUGAAGAGUGGCCUUUGGCUGCUGAUGUACUGAAACUGAAUCUUGUUCUUACAUUAUCCAGGCUGCACUCUUCCAUGCUGUCUGUGCUAAAACUAGAUAUGCAUGCCAUUUCCCUUGCAGGUAUGUUCUGGUUCGGGGGCACAGCUCUUUUUUUUUUUUUUUUUAAGUAAGAUUAAAAAAUGAAAAAUAUAUAAAAUUUAUAUAGAAUAAAUAUUUCCAUUCAUUAGACUUGUUAAAAGGAGACUGAAUUAAUAUUUUAUAUAGAGAUUUUGUUACACUAUGGGAGGUUCUAUCAUAUUAUUCUGAAUUGGAGAGUAUAUAUAUAUAUUUUUAAUAAACUUUAUUAAGGUGAAAUAAUUUGAAGUUUACACAUGAGUAAUUGAAAUAUUUGAGUAAAAAUGGCAAAAGUUUAAAUUUUGAAUGCUGUAUAUAUAUUAGAGAAUAUGGAGAAUCAUGGUGUGAUGCAACUAUAAAAGGAAAAUUAAUGUGAAGUUUUUUGGGGGGCAAAGAGAUCCUAAGGGGCAAAAAAAAAAAUCUCUCCAUGAAGAUUCUUUACAUUAUAUGGUUUGACAUAAGGAUUUAUAAGGUCAUUUGUCCAGCCAAUGGAAAUGUGCUUAAUAAAAAAUUCUGACCUUGGGUAAGAAUUUUCUUUAUACCCUGUUGCUGGUUUCAUGUACAUACAUGAGUGCAUGCCCCCAUCCAAAUGUUUUCUUCCCAACACUCAUUAAAUAUGACAUUGACUUGGUCUAACAA